ACGACUCUCGCAAUGAUAUCUCGGCUCUCGCAUCGAUGAAGAACGUAGCGAAAUGCGAUACUUGUGUGAAUUGCAGAAUCCCGUGAACCAUCGAGUUUUGAACGCAAGUUGCGCCCAACGCCACUAGCUGAGGCACGUCUGCCUGGCGUCACGCACAGCGUCCGCUCAACACAAGCAAUGUUUUCGUGUUGAUGAGCGGAAGUUGCCACCCGAGCUAUAUCUCAGCUCGUAGCCUAAAUGAUGCCUCGACGAUGGCAUCACGAUUUAUGUGUUUAAACCCCUGUCUCAUAGACCGCGUCUGUUUGCCUCGUUGAAUGCUCGAGUUGUACAAACCCUUGUGUUGCAUCUAACACUCACCUUGCGACCCCAGUCAGCGGACUACCCGCUGAGUUUAAGCAUAUCAAUAACGGAGGAGAAAAACUUACAAGAUUCCCCUAUAACGCGAGCGAACCGGAUCAGCCCAGCUUGAGAAUCGGCGCUUUGUCGUCUGAAUUGUAGUCUGUAGAAGCUCCUCAGCGACGACCGUCCCAAUCCCCUGGAAGGGGCGCCAGAGAGGUGAAGCCCCGUCGUUCGACCCUGUCGCACCACGAGCUUGUCGCGAGUCGGUUGUUGGAAUGCAGCCCUAAUUGGCGUAAAUUCCGUCCAAGGCUAAAUACUGCGAGAGACCGAUAGCGAACAAGUACCCGAGGAAAGAUGAAAAGACUUUGAAAAGAGAGUCAAAGAGUGCUUGAAAUUGUCGGAGGAAGCGAUGGGCUGCGAUGCGCCUAGUCGGAUGCGAACGUGUGAGCCGGUUCGCCGCUCGACUCUAGACGUGGACCGAUGCGGAUUUGAUGUGCCCAAGCCCGAGCCGUUUACUGCUUGUGAUACUCAUCGUCAUGAUUGUGUGGCAGCGUGCGCCUUCGCUGCUUAUGCAACUGCGCGCUCCCGCAUCGCCUGUGGCUCCCCAUUCGCCCGUCUUGAAACACGACCAAGGAGUCUACAUGUGUGCGAGUCAACGGUAAGUAAACCCGUAAGCGCAAGGAAGCUGAUUGUGGAUCCCCUUGUGGUUGCACCGCCGACCGACCUAACCUUUGAGAAGGUUCGAGUGUGAGCAUACCUGUCGGACCCGAAAGAUGGUAACUAUGCCUGAGCGGGCGAAGCCAGAGAAACUCUGUGGAGCCCGCACGAUACUGACGUGCAAAUCGUUCGUCUGACUUGGUAUAGGGCGAAAGACUAAUCGAACCAUCUAGUAGCUGUUCCCUCCGAAGUUUCCCUCAGAUAGCUGGAGCUCGAGCGCGAUUCUAUCGGUAAAGCCAAUGAUUAGAGCAUCGGGCGCAACGCCCUCGACCUAUUCUCAAACUUUAAAUAGUAGACGUCGGCUGCUUUGUUGAGCCGUACCAUGGAAUCGAGAGCUCCAAGUGGCCAUUUUGUAAGCAAACUGCGAUGCGGAUGAACCGGAAGCCGGUUACGUGCCCAACUACGCGCUAACCUAAACCCACAAAGGUGUUGGUCGAUUAAGACAGCAGGACGUGUCAUGGAAGUCGAAAUCCGCUAAGAGUGUUAACAACUCACCUGCCGAAUCAACUAGCCCCGAAAAUGGAUGCGCUUAAGCGCGUGACCCACACCCGCCGUUGGGCAAUUGUCAGCCCUGAUGAGUAGGAGGCCGCGUAGCUGCAAAACCUGGGCGUGAGCCCGGCGGAGCUUCCGUCGUGCAGAUCUUGUGUAGUAGCAAAUAUUCAAAUGAAACUUUGAAGCCGAAGAGGGAAAGUUCCAUGUGAACGCACUUGCACAUGGUUAGUCGAUCCUAAGAUCGGGUAACCCCGUCAGAGAGCGCAAACUGCGCGAACUUCGAAAGGAAUCGGGUUAAAAUUCCUGAACCGGACCGCGGUUGACGGCAACUUAGAAGUCUGGAGACGUCGCGGGCCUCGGAAGAUUAUCUUUCUGUUUAACAGCUUGCCCACCCUGGAAACGCUCAGCCGAGUAGGUCCACGCUGAAGAGCACCGCACGUCGCUGUGUCCGUGCGCCCCCGCGCCCUUGAAAAUCCGGAGACCGAGUGCCGAUCCGCCCGGUCUACUCAUAACCGCAUCAGUCUCCAAGUGAACAGCCUCUGGUCGAUGAACAAUGUAGCAAGGAAGUCGGCAAAAUGGAUCCGUAACCUCGGGAAAAGAUUGCUCUGAGACUGGCUCGGGUCCCUGUCCCGAACCCGUCGGCUGUUGUGGACUGCUCGAGCUGCUUCCCGCGAGAGCGGUCACUGCGUGCCGACUGGGAUGACUGGAAUGUCCCUUUGGGCCUUCCCCGGCGUCGAACAGUCGACUCAGAACUGUACGACAAGGGAAUCCGACUGUUUAAUUAAAACAAAGCAUUCGAUGUCCUUACGGAUGCUAACGCAAUUGAUUUCUGCCCAGUGCUCUGAAUGUCAAAGUGAAGAAAUUCAACCAAGCGCGGUAAACGCGGAUAACUAUGACUCUCUUAAGUAGCCAAAUGCCUCUCAUCUAAUUAGUGACGCGCAUGAAUGGAUUAACGAGAUUCCCACUGUCCCUGUCUACUAUCCAGCAAACCACAGCCAAGGAACGGCUUGCAGAAUCACGGGAAAGAAACCCUGUUGAGCUUGACUCUAGUCCGACUUUGUGAAAUGACUUGAGAGUGUAGAUAAGUGGAGCGCUUGCGUCGAAAGUGAAAUACCACUACUUUUAACGUUAUUUACUUAUUCCGUGAGUCGGAAGCGGGCACUGCCCCUCUUUUGAUCCAAGGUCGUCUCGCGCCCGAUCCGGCGGAAACAUUGUCAGUGGGAGUUGCUGGGCGCACAUCUGUUAAAAAUAACGCAGUGUCCUAAGAUGAGCUCAACGAGAACAAAAUCUCGUGUGAACAGAAGGUAAAAGCUCGUUUGAUUCUGAUUUCCAGUACGAAUACAACCGUGAAAGCGUGCCUAUCGAUCCUUUAGACCUUCGGAAUUUGAAGCUAGAGUGUCAGAAAAUUACCACAGGAUAACUGCUUGUGCAGCCAACGUUCAUAGCGACGUUGCUUUUGAUCCUUCGAUGUCGCUCUUCCUAUCAUUGUGAAGCAGAAUUCACCAAGUGUUGAUUGUUCACCCACCAAUAGGAACGUGAGCUGGUUUAGACCGUCGUGAGACAGGUUAGUUUACCCUACUGAUGAUAGUGCCCGAUAGUAAUUCAACCUAGUACGAGAGAACCGUUGAUUCACACAAUUGUCAUCGCGCUUGGUUGAAAAGCCAGUGCGCGAAGCUACCGUGUGCAGAUUAUGACUGAACGCCUCUAAGUCAGAAUCCAGCUAGAGAAGCGCGCAUACGCCCGUCGCUCGAUUGCCGACCUGCAGUAGGAUCUUUAGUUCCCAAAGCACGUUCAUUGUAAAGCUCCCGAUGAUGAGUCCGAGGCAGCCUUGAAGUACAAUUUCCACCGAUGCGGUAGAAUCUUUUGCAGACGACUUAAAUACGCGACGGGUAUUGUAAGUGCAGAUGCCUUGCUG
rnacentral:rRNA from 1 species